AAGUCGUAACAAGGUUUCCGUAGGUGAACCUGCGGAAGGAUCAUUAGUGAAUUUUUAUCCGUGAGGCAGCAAUGCCUCAUGGUUUAGACGGUGGCCCCUCGUGGUCGCCGCUGCGUCAAAGACGUGAGGAAUACACAUCCAUAACACCUGUGAACUGUCUGCAAGCGCCAACCGGCACUUCGGUGUCCGCUAGGACUUGCACUUUACAAACUCAACCUGUAAAAAUGUCUAUAUACAAAACAAAAUAAAA
rnacentral:misc_RNA from 1 species